rnacentral:rRNA from 1 species
UACGUAGGGUGCAAGCGUUGUCCGGAAUUAUUGGGCGUAAAGAGCUCGUAGGCGGUUUGUUGCGUCGGCUGUGAAAUCCCGAGGCUCAACCUCGGGUCUGCAGUCGAUACGAGCAAACUAGAGUGUUGCAGGGGAGACUGGAAUUCCUGGUGUAGCGGUGAAAUGCGCAGAUAUCAGGAGGAACACCCGUAGCGAAGGCGGCACUCUGGGCCGAUACUGACACUGAGGAGCGAAAGCGUGGGGAGCGAACAGG